AGUGAAUAGAUACCCGGGUAGUCCCAGCUGUAAACGAUGCAGACUCGGUGAUGGACUAGCUUAAAUGCUAGUCCAGUGCCGCAGGGAAGCCGUUAAGUCUGCCGCCUGGGUAGUACGGUCGCAAGACUGAAACUAAGGAAUUGGCGGGGGAGCACCACAAGGGGUGAAAGCCUGCGGUUCAAUUGGAGUCAACGCCGGGAAUCUUACCGGGGGCGACAGCAGAGUGAAGGUCAAGCUGAAGACUUUACUAGACAAGCUGAGAGGAGGUGCAUGGCCGUCGCCAGCUCGUGCCGUGAGGUGUCCUGUUAAGUCAGGUAACGAGCGAGACCCCUGCUUCUAGUUGCUACUUUUAUUCUUCGGAGUAGAGGGGCUAAUUAGAAGGACUGCCGCCGCUAAGGCGGAGGAAGGAGGGGGCUACGGCAGGUCAGUAUGCCCCGAAACCCUCGGG
rnacentral:rRNA from 1 species